AGAAAAAACUGAGAAGUGAUUACUGCAGUGCAUUCAAAUGCCAUGGGAAGGUGAGCAGUGGAAGGCCAGACACCUCCAGACCAAUGGACAGGCUGCUGUGAACAGGAACUGAAGAUAAAGUGUGUGUUUAUAGGUAGCAUUUUAAAACCGCUGCAAUUUCAGUGCUGGACCAACCCUCUGAUUAGACAAGUGGAAAAGCUAUGAAGUAUACUCUGUAAUAAAUGUCAGAGCAAAGAAGAGCAAAGAACUGAAAAACACCCUAUUAGAGGCUAGCAAGAGCCAGGAAAUAAAAGAAGAACCUGUGUCAAAAAGCAAAAAAAAUUCAAGAGCAGAACAGAAGUUCAAGGGUGACAAAGAGAAGGAUCACAGCCCUUUUGGGCCGUGACAGUGGUAAUUUUUAUAUCCAACUCAGUGCAAAGCUGGAUUGCAAGCUGUGGUGUCAUUGGGGAGCAGAGACUCAGCAUGCCAGUGGCAUCCACCGGUCUGGGGUCCUCACCUGGCAGAGCAGUCACACAGCAAGAGCCCUGCUUGCUGAAAUGGUAGCAAUGCUCUUCAUCAGUGUGGAGGGUGAUUGUCACCAUCUAUUAAAAAAAAAUAUUAAGGAAUUAAUAUAAUUGGACUGAAGUUACAAGGAAGAAUUGAACUGAGCCAGUAGGGUUAACACUGAUGGUAACAGGAGAUAACUAGCCAUAAGAAAAUUACAGCUCUUCUGAAAGACAGUGCCUAAAAUUAGCAGCAUAUCCUUGGCACCAUCAUAGGAACUGGUUAACUGAUGACCCUGAAGAAACAUUUGUUUCCAUUAAUUCUGCUGUCAUUAUUUCGCUAUUCUUGAACUCUUCCUCUGAAUUCUUCUGUCCUUCUGAUCCCAAGAUGGCAGGAAUGUGAGAAGAGAACAUAAAGAAAUUACAAUAAGCUGUCAGCUAUAUAAUUAUACUGUAACCUACUACACUGAGAAGUUACACCAACAGAAAUUUGGCAAUGUAUUGGCUGCUAGCUAAACACAGGACUCUCACUAGCUCAACAUUAAAAAAAAACCAGGCUCACUAAAAAGCAACAUCUGCAUUACAAAGAAGCUAACAAAAGAAUUCCCUUAUGAUACUUAGGUUCAGCUGCUUCAUCUUAGGUUCAUCAGCUACAUUUUCUUGUUUUGUGAGUACUUAUUACAUUUGCAAUUUAAUAUAUAUUUAAGAUCACAACACUACAAACCUUUCUCCAGUCUGUAGUUUUGCCACCUUUAGUUAGACACAAAGGAGUGCUUGCUUGAACUAGGGUUGGAGAUUCUGAAGAAAGUUGGUGAUGUUAUUAGGUCACGUGUACUGUAAUUACUUGAGCACCACAAUUU